AUGCCUAACAAGGAAAUGACCGAGCGAGUUAGAAAAACGACUAGUUUUUAAAACAAGAUUGACUGAUAUGAAACUGGUUAUUUAGUUAAGACUGAUUAACUUAUUUGUCGAACCUUUUAAACACGAAGGCGCGGUAUAAAAGGGUGUUUCCAUUGGAAGCAUCGGCUCAUUUGUCAAUCAACCGCCGUGGAGUGAGGAUCAAAUUCAAGAUGCGGCCCGAGUCAAGUACAAAACACAGAGGGGAGAGGUUUCAAAGCGCUUCCUGAUUUAUAAAAAUGCCAACUCUACCUUCUAGUCCGAUAGAAUGUGUAAAAAAGGAAACUCAGUAGAAGUAAAGCUAGGAAACCAUCGUGAUUUACGCAAAAGUGGAGCAAACGCAUGAUCGGAAAACAACGAUUUCAAACCUCGACAAAAGCUAUACCCAAGAAGCAAGUCAUGGUGAAAUCUGAAUAAUCAGCAAGAUAUAUUCCUCAAGAAAAAGCAGAUACAUAGACAUGUAUUACAUUUUCCAUGUGAUUUUAAAUCAUAAACAUUCCUUUGUAAAGGAAACAUGUUUUGUUGCUAUAAGAUUGAUUGAUGUGCUAGUGAAGUGUAUAAAGAAACCAGUCAUAUUUUAUAAACUGCAUUAUAGAUUAUACUUUUGAAUAAACCAAAAAGCUUUCUCUUUUA